GACAGAGGGUGCAAACGUUGUUCGGAAUUAUUGGGCGUAAAGGGCUCGUAGGCGGUCUGUUGCGUCGGGAGUGAAAACUUACAGCUUAACUGUGAGCGUGCUUCCGAUACGGGCAGACUUGAGGUAUUCAGGGGAGAACGGAAUUCCUGGUGUAGCGGUGAAAUGCGCAGAUAUCAGGAGGAACACCGGUGGCGAAGGCGGUUCUCUGGGAAUAUCCUGACGCUGAGGAGCGAAAGUGUGGGGAGCGAACAGG
rnacentral:rRNA from 1 species